GCUCCACCGAAAGAAAAAGAGUGGCGAACGGGUGAGUAACACGUGGGUAACCUGCCCAUCAGAAGGGGAUAACACUUGGAAACAGGUGCUAAUACCGUAUAACACUAUUUUCCGCAUGGAAGAAAGUUGAAAGGCGCUUUUGCGUCACUGAUGGAUGGACCCGCGGUGCAUUAGCUAGUUGGUGAGGUAACGGCUCACCAAGGCAACGAUGCAUAGCCGACCUGAGAGGGUGAUCGGCCACACUGGGACUGAGACACGGCCCAGACUCCUACGGGAGGCAGCAGUAGGGAAUCUUCGGCAAUGGACGAAAGUCUGACCGAGCAACGCCGCGUGAGUGAAGAAGGUUUUCGGAUCGUAAAACUCUGUUGUUAGAGAAGAACAAGGAUGAGAGUAAAACGUUCAUCCCUUGACGGUAUCUAACCAGAAAGCCACGGCUAACUACGUGCCAGCAGCCGCGGUAAUACGUAGGUGGCAAGCGUUGUCCGGAUUUAUUGGGCGUAAAGCGAGCGCAGGCGGUUUCUUAAGUCUGAUGUGAAAGCCCCCGGCUCAACCGGGGAGGGUCAUUGGAAACUGGGAGACUUGAGUGCAGAAGAGGAGAGUGGAAUUCCAUGUGUAGCGGUGAAAUGCGUAGAUAUAUGGAGGAACACCAGUGGCGAAGGCGGCUCUCUGGUCUGUAACUGACGCUGAGGCUCGAAAGCGUGGGGAGCGAACAGGAUUAGAUACCCUGGUAGUCCACGCCGUAAACGAUGAGUGCUAAGUGUUGGAGGGUUUCCGCCCUUCAGUGCUGCAGCAA
rnacentral:rRNA from 1 species